rnacentral:tRNA from 1 species
GGGAAGGUGGCUCAGUGGUAGAGAGCUUGCCUUGUAUGCAUGAGGACCUGGGUUCGAUUCCUCCCCA